rnacentral:ribozyme from 1 species
GUAAACAAACAAAACCAUUCCAAGCAGUACUUUAUUUCUCCAUUUCGUCUUUUCUUCUUUCUUUCUUUCUUUCUUUC